rnacentral:rRNA from 1 species
UACAGAGGUCCCAAGCGUUUGUUCGGAUUCAUUGGGCGUAAAGGGUGCGUAGGUGGCGCCGUAAGUCGGGUGUGAAAUUUCGGAGCUUAACUCCGAAACUGCAUUCGAUACUGCGGUGCUUGAGGACUGGAGAGGAGACUGGAAUUCAUGGUGUAGCAGUGAAAUGCGUAGAGAUCAUGAGGAAUACCGAUGGCGAAGGCAGGUCUCUGGGCUAUAACUGACGCUCAUGCACGAAAGCGUGGGGAGCAAACAGG